rnacentral:rRNA from 1 species
GACGUAGGGCGCGAGCGUUGUCCGGAUUUAUUGGGCGUAAAGAGCUCGUAGGCGGCUUGUCGCGUCGGCUGUGAAAACCCGCGGCUCAACUGUGGGCGGGCAGCUGAUACGGGCAGGCUGGAGUUCGGUAGGGGAGACUGGAAUUCCUGGUGUAGCGGUGAAAUGCGCAGAUAUCAGGAGGAACACCGGUGGCGAAGGCGGAUCUCUGGGCCGUAACUGACGCUGAGGAGCGAAAGCGUGGGGAGCGAACAGG